AUUGAACGCUGGCGGCAGGCCUAACACAUGCAAGUCGAACGGUAGCACAGAGAGCUUGCUCUUGGGUGACGAGUGGCGGACGGGUGAGUAAUGUCUGGGAAACUGCCUGAUGGCGGGGGAUAACUACUGGAAACGGUAGCUAAUACCGCAUAACGUCGCAAGACCAAAGAGGGGGACCUUCGGGCCUCUUGCCAUCGGAUGUGCCCAGAUGGGAUUAGCUAGUAGGUGGGGUAAUGGCUCACCUAGGCGACGAUCCCUAGCUGGUCUGAGAGGAUGACCAGCCACACUGGAACUGAGACACGGUCCAGACUCCUACGGGAGGCAGCAGUGGGGAAUAUUGCACAAUGGGCGCAAGCCUGAUGCAGCCAUGCCGCGUGUAUGAAGAAGGCCUUCGGGUUGUAAAGUACUUUCAGCGAGGAGGAAGGUGGUGAGGUUAAUAACCUUAUCAAUUGACGUUACUCGCAGAAGAAGCACCGGCUAACUCCGUGCCAGCAGCCGCAGUAACAC
rnacentral:rRNA from 1 species